GAUUUCUGGUACGGUGCGCCUGGUCCGCCCCGUUUAGGUGUGUGAGUACCGGUGCGCGCCUACCAUCCUUCUGGGGAGCAGGUCUACCCUUCAUUGGGCCGGGCUUGCGACCUAGAUCGUUUACUUUGAAAAAAUUAGAGUGUUUAAAGCAGGCAUAUUGCUCUGAAUACAUUAGCAUGGAAUAAUAAGAUAGGACUUUGGUUCUAUUUUGUUGGUUUCUAGGACUGAAGUAAUGAUUGAUAGGGACAGUUGGGGGUGCUAGUAUUCAGUGGCCAGAGGUGAAAUUCUUGGAUUCACUGAAGACUAACUUAUGCGAAAGCAUU
rnacentral:rRNA from 1 species